GCUUUCGUAGUGUAAAUGCCAGCACACUCGGCGCGUAUUCGAGAGGUCCGAGGUUCGAGUCCCGGUGAAGGCA
rnacentral:tRNA from 1 species